UACUGUAGCCUGUUGUGAGGUGUGUGCAGCACUACUGCAGUCAGAUCUCCUUAGGGGCCUGGAGUGAAAGUUUUGGUUUCUUUUAUGUUUUGUUUGUUUUGGUCCCAAAUGUGGGAUGUGGAAAUGUUUUUAGUUCAUUCUCAGUUGAAAACAAACACAUGAGAGGGCCCAUGAUCUUGGUCAGCUGAAAAGGGGCAGGUGAGCGGGCAUGUGAUGUUUUGCUGGAAGCUGCCUCCCGCAAGGGGAGUGGUUUUUAAACAGCCUCCGUGGACUUGAGAAGGGAUAAAUAGAGGCCCACCGACAGGGAGACAUCGAUUUUGUAUGGAUGCUCUUUGUAAGGUGCACGUCGCUUCGCUGGUCUUCUUGUCUCUACACUUCACUUCUCGGAGAGAAACCCUCAGAGCGGGGAGCUUUUCGUGGCACUCCAGCUGAGUCUUGUGGCUUUGGCUGACGCAUUCCAAUUGGGCAGAGUCUUGCUGUUUCUGCUGAAUUGUGCCGUUGCUGUUGAUUCGUGUUGCUGUUUGGUGUUGGCUGUCUGGCUGGACUGCUGGUAUCCAGAUAAUGAAGAGUAGACUCACUUCAAGGAACUACAUCUAAAAAGCUCCUCCGCACUGCAGAGCUGACUUGUAUUAUGGAAGACUGGCCAUAAUGAAACCCUUGCCCUGACUUCCCCAGGGAAUUCUGCGAGUGGGAGGUGGCAGUAACUUUGUGUAUGCCCAGCAAACUCCCUACCAACCGAACUACAUUCCCGGCUCCAAGAAAGCCUUUAUAGUGUCUGCUCAUUACUUUCACCGCUCAUUGCUGAUGUCCAGUUAGCAAGGGAAUGACGGGCACAUCCCUCAGCCCAGCUAAUCAACAUCCAGCCAAGGUGCUUCUGGAAUUCUUCCGAAUGUGAAGUACUUGCUGAAUAAUUUUUCUUCUUGGACAAGGAAGUCAUCCAGGGGCAGAGGAGAGCCGGGCCAGAGUUGGGCACAGAAGCCACCAGCUUUCGAACACCUGGACACACCUGGGCUUGAGCAGGGACCAGCUGGGACAUUCAGACAUAAGAAUGAGGGCAGCUUCUUUUUAACUCAAACCAGUUUGAGCUGAGCUCUUACCACUCAAACCUGGAAGAGCCCAGCUGAUGUGAAAAAGAGGGAGAAGCCAAGGGAUGCUAGGCUCCACCUGAGGAGAAGCGGACACUGGGGCAGGUUUGAAGGAGCAAGAAGAAAAGCUCAGAGUUUUCAAGGCUAAAUGCUGAAAUGUCAUUAUUCGGCACCAAGAGGAAGAAAAGAAUUUUUAAAGUAAGAGGCUCCAAAGCACAAGGACUGUGACCCUGGGCAGCAACCCACCCCUACCCGGGGAGGGAGGCAUUCAGACACAGCCGCCCUGCCCGGCCCUCCCUCGAGGCCUCCCUCCCCUAUGCUCAUCUUUCACACUGAGUGGACUUAACUCAAAGGAAGGGACUUCUGGCCAAAGUCCUCUGGCCAGGCCUGAAAUUGGUAGAGACUCCUUCAAAAUUCUAAAGUCCUUUCCUCUUUCCAGGUGGGGAAUCCUCAAGACCUCCACUUUCCUCAGCCUAGACUUGAAUAAAACACUCACCCUGUGACAGAGCAGGAGGCGACCUGAUGUCCAGGUUUCCUCCUCCAGGAAAGAACCUGCUGCCUUGUCUGUCAGGUGAGCUGACACCUGCCCCAGGCUUUGACUCAUGACUUUCACAAUUUUAAUACAGGCACAGGGACCAGAAUGGGGAAGGACCCUCGACAUUUGGCCAAGCUCUAAAUAAAUCCAUUUCCUU